rnacentral:lncRNA from 10 species
UUUGUAGCUCUAGGCCAUAUUUUGCUAAACACAAAGGUACAUUAUGCAUGACUAAAGAAAACAGUGAAAAUCAGAGCAAUUAAUUUCCCAGCUAUGUUUCCCAUAAAAAGACAUCACUACUAUGAUCUGCUUAUAACACAAACUUUUUUGCAUUGCACAAUGAUCUAAGUGUGUAAUAACUUACAUAUUUCACUAAGAUGUAACAUCCUUCAAAACAUCCUUAUAAUGAAAGUUUUCCAAAAACAUUAUUGAUCACCGGCAUGUCUCAUGUUUUAAAAUUACUGACGAAUCCUUUACUAUUUUCUUUACAGCUAGAAAUAAUUCUUCUUGAUCACUAGAGUGUAAAGGGGUAUAAAGUACAAAGACUGAAUAUUUUCUUAAAUACUAACAUCCCAGUUGACACAGGACAUUUCCCAUAACUUGCCCAAAACAAUAAUUAGGAGAGUUGUCACUGGAAUCCUAAAAAUAUAUGUAAGAAAACAGAGAUUCGUUGGCAUCAAUUUAGCACAGCAAGAGAUUUCCAUUAAGUGCUUUUUCAAAUUAUUUGCAAACACUUUUUAGCUGAACCCUCUCAUUUCCAGUGGAGCCUUUUAUGUUUCUUUGCAGAACUCAAGAACCUUUUCUCAGGUGGCUCUGCUUUGCUGCAGGUAAGUUUGGUAUUAACACAUUUUCUUUAUCUGUUGGAGGUAGUGAAACGGCUCUCUUCCUCCGUUGUCUUUCACUGGCACCUUUGUGGCCGCUCGUAGUCACUGACCUCACCUUGCUGGAAAGGUGGCUAAGAAAAGAGCAGUUUCUAAUAACUCAAGGGAACUGCAGCGUUUCCAUUCAGAACAAACAGCAGGACCCAGCUGGAGGGGUGCAGCUCUAAAGAAGUAAUGGAGAAGCACUGGAGAUUUGUAAGCCACGGAGUCAAAUGGUGGACUGGGAUUUUCAGGAGAUCAUUUAGAGAGCAAGAUCUUACCAAAUCCUUUAGUCAUGGUCUAUUUCGUUGCACUCAUAUGGUUGUUACUGCGAAGGUGAAGAACUAAUGACUGCAGCAGGAAAAAGAAUUGGAUGUGUCAUGAAUUAUGGCCCUGCUUAUACUUCUACUUCAACCGUAAUCAUUUGUUUAAACAAAAAGUUCUGCAUUUGAAUUGUCACAAUUGUGUGUGUGUUAUAAACAUCUCAUAUUUCAUCCAGGCUCAGCCAACACUUGCCUUUAUUAAUGCUCAUAAUCAAGAAAUAAAAUCUCAUACUAACCAAAAAUUAUCCUUCAUAAGAGAAUAUAAACAGAAGUCUGGUUCAUAAACUUACUAAUUAACACCUCUAUUCUCAUGUAUCAACUAACAUUUUUGUUUCGUCUUAAAAUAAAUAAAACUUUAUGACAUGCUAAUAAUUUAUUUAAAAUUUUAUCUUUCAAAGGCUUAUCUUCUCUUAAUGUUCGACUUAGGUUUUUUUAUACUAUUGAUUUUGCCUUUAGAAAAU